rnacentral:rRNA from 1 species
AACGAACGCUGGCGGCAGGCUUAACACAUGCAAGUCGAGCGCCCCGCAAGGGGAGCGGCAGACGGGUGAGUAACACGUGGGAACAUACCAAUCUCUGAGGAACAACUCCGGGAAACUGGAGCUAAUACCGCAUACGACAUUAGGGGGCAAGCGUUAUCGGAGAUGGAUUGGCCCACGUUGUAUUAGCUAGUGGGUGGGGUAAAGGCCUACCAAGGCGACGAGCCAUAGCUGGUCUGAGAGGAUGAACAGCCACAUUGGGACUGAGACACGGCCCGAACUCCUACGGGAGGCAGCAGUGGGGAAUAUUGGACAAUGGGCGCAAGCCUGAUCCAGCCAUGCCGCGUGAGUGAUGAAGGCCUUAGGGUUGUAAAGCUCUGUCACCGAUGAAGAUAAUGAGGGUAGUCGGAGAAGAAGCCCCGGCUAACUUCGUGCCAGCCGCCGCCGUAACAC